AACGUGGAGUUAAUGAUAAAAUAGCUCUGAAGGUCGUUGGGAAAGACACAGACACAUAGGCUGAUUUUACAGAGAGAGAAAAGCUCUUGAGUGUGGUCUUGGUCGUGCUGAAGCAGUUGCUGAAGUACUUGACGGAAGAAAGACAUAAGCGUUGUAGCUUAGGAAUCUUUCAGUAGCGUGUGUUAGGGUGUUAACACUAGACGUGUAAAAGCUGAAUUAAGCAGAUCUUGUAAUAGAUU
rnacentral:lncRNA from 1 species